UGUCUACAUUUCACUGUUGCCCAGUCACCUCUCUGACUUGAUCGUCGGAGGGUCCCCGCCGGAGCCGCCUCCGGUCAGUGCGGACUUCCUUUUGCAGGUGCACGCUUCCCGGCGAUCGGACGACGAGGCGAUUGGCCGCAACAGAUUGGCGCGCCAGGAAGGGGGCAGCAUGACUAGGACAAGAGCUCAACGAUUGAGAGUCACUGGGUCGGCCAGGCGCUCUUCCCGCCGGGAAAAGGCCUCUCCACCACCACCGGCGGCGGAGCCUAGCUCUCCGCGCCCUGCAGUGACCACGGAGGCCCAGAUUGCGGCCAUCAUACGGCAGAUGACCGUACUGACCGAUGCAGUCAAAAGCCUCCAGCAGCAACCGGCGGCCCGACCUAUGCCUUCCAGGAGCAGCCGCCGACGACCGCGCCGAUCCCCGUCGCCUCCAUGCGAGCGCUCCCAACAGC
rnacentral:lncRNA from 1 species